rnacentral:rRNA from 1 species
UCGGGAAUUUUGGGCAAUGGGCGAAAGCCUGACCCAGCAAUGCCGCGUGAGUGAAGAAGGCCUUCGGGUUGUAAAGCUCUUUUGUCAGGGAAGAAACGGUAGUAGCGAAUAACUAUUACUAAUGACGGUACCUGAAGAAUAAGCACCGGCUAACUACGUGCCAGCAGCCGCGGUAAUACGUAGGGUGCAAGCGUUAAUCGGAAUUACUGGGCGUAAAGCGUGCGCAGGCGGUUGUGUAAGUCAGAUGUGAAAUCCCCGGGCUCAACCUGGGAAUUGCAUUUGAGACUGCACGGCUAGAGUGUGUCAGAGGGGGGUAGAAUUCCACGUGUAGCAGUGAAAUGCGUAGAUAUGUGGAGGAAUACCGAUGGCGAAGGCAGCCCCCUGGGAUAACACUGACGCUCAUGCACGAAAGCGUGGGGAGCAAACAGGAUUAGAUACCCAAGUAGUCCCUGAGCGGGCUGGCAAGGCGCAU